ensembl:lncRNA
CCACGAUCCGCCAUCCAAAAUGCCUGCUUAUGCAAAAUGUGGAUCUGCCCAUUGAACAUCAAAGUAACUGAUUUUUUUUAAUAAUGGAAACUGUCUGAUGAUUCACUGGGGUAAAUCAAGCAGAACAGUAGAAAGAUGAGACAGAAAAUAGGAAGAGAACCAGGACCAGUAUCAAGUCAUGAUAAAGGGUACUCAGUGUAUUGCUAUAGCAGUAAGUCAAUAGAAUGUUAAGUAAAAGACAAUGUGUUUCAUUUCUGCAGGGCAUUGUUCAGACUACACCUGUUAACAGGAUCACCUGGUUCUGCAGAAAAUACACACAACAACAGGUUUUGUCAUAUUAUCCUGGUAAGUCAGAUCAGAAUUAAGACUUUAAGGGUUACUUUGCCAAAAUGGAGCAGGAAAUGAACAUUCCUCAUCACUGCAGCUAAAUGAAAACAUGCACAGAUAUGGAAAAUUACUCUUUACUGGUGUACUGAGGUAUGUGGAAGCGGAAGCUUAACUUCUGGAAUGACAAGGAGGUGGAACAGUUUGCUGUUUCUGUGACUUCCAGGGAUUAAAUUCAGCUUCCUCUUGCUUAAGACCUACAUGAAUAAGUCCUCACAGGGAAACAGACUACUGAUUUCUUUCCUCCCUCUGCAGGUUUGUGUAAAUCCUGAUACUCCACAACCGCAGUAGCGCAGGGGAAGAGCAGCCUUCGUCUCUCCCCCUUUGCAGAAUUACACACUGAGAACAAGUAUGAAACCCACAGGAAACUUCAGCCUCUGUGAGGCAGAGGAACCAAAACCUUCACACCCAAGUAGCAGUGAGGCACAUCACACACUCCGGCCACUCUUGAGUUCCCAGCAUUUUUCACCUAUCGGCACAAGUCUGUCUCCUGUUCCACCCUGGCCCUUCCUAGAACUGGGAGCAGGACUGGCUGGCCUACAGUUUUCCAAGCAGAGUGCAGAGGCUGCAGAAGGACUUCAGUUGGCCUGAAGUGGUUCAGGAAGAGCUGAAAGCAAAUCUUCCCCAAGGCCCUGGUGUAAUCCACAGCAAGGUCAGAUUCCUCUGGAGUAACAAGGCUUUGCAAACUGUCAGUAGCAUGCAGACAGGCUUAGCUAACACAGUUUAGAGAAAUUGCUGGUAAGUGAAAAGGUAUCAUUCAUCAGUCUGAGGGAAUAAUCCUCAUUUAAGACUAUAAAUCAUUUGGUCUGUCAUUUUAUUGUGCCUGGGAUUAAGUUGUACAAAUUCUGGAAACACAGCAUCUCUGACUUCCUCUCUUCAAAGAAACUACACAUGGUUUGCCCAAAAACUCCCGUGUUUGUCAUCACAUGGGAGAGCCAACAUGGGGAAUUUUCCUACAAAAUGGAGUAAAACCCUGAGCCUGCUUAUCUUUGGAAUAACUGCCAGCAUGAUAGCAGAGUUUUGUAAUACUUUUGUGUGUUCAUAAGUCUUCUGCAGAGCCAUUCUUCUUAUCGGGGGCCAGAGUUAAAUUUUUGUAGUGAUAGUGGGUUGUUUCAUUGCAGAACAACGCAUGUUUGCCUUUAUCAGGGCCUCUGACUGCUGUGGGUAUCUCGCCCUCUAAUCCAUCUUCCCUGGAGUGUAUUUGAACAUUCCAGUCCUCUGAGGAGCUCUCAGGUAGCUGAAACUCAGCAAGCGAAUCCGCAGCUGCUGGGG